rnacentral:rRNA from 1 species
AAACUAGGGAUAGAUAACCUAUUAUUUUAAAUUUAAAUUUAUUAAUACUAAAUUAUUGAAAGUUAUGUUCUUUAAAAUUAAAAAAUUUGGCGGUAUUUUAGUCUUUUCAGAGGAACCUGUCCUGUAAUUGAUAGUCCACGAUUAUAAAAACUUUAUUUAUUAAUUUAUAUAUCAUUGUAGUUUGAAUAUUUUAUUAGAAUUAUAAUAUUCAAGAUUUUUUAUUAGAAAAUAAAUCAGAUCAAGGUGUAGUUUAUAGUAAAGUAGAGAUGGGUUACAUUAAAUUUAUUUGAAGAUUAUUUUUUUUAAAAAAAUUUGAAUAUGGAUUUGAUAGUAAUUAUAUAAAUUUAUUUAUAGUGGAUUUAAGCUCUAAAAUAUGUACAUAUCGCCCGUCGCUUUCACUUUAAGGUGAAAUAAGCG